UGAGAUUUCCCAUUAACAAAGACCUUUAUGUAAGGCUUUAUUUGAUGGAUUUUUUUUUUCUUUUCUUUCUUCUUCUUCUUUUGUUUUUUUUCUUGUAACAAGAAGAGCCACAAGUACUAUGGGUGAGCAGAAAAACAUCCCAGAGAGAGGUUGUCAUAGGAACUGUGCCAGAAGAACAGUUACUCAAUAGAAUGUACCAACCAAAGAAGAGAGGAAGGAACUGAUCUUGAAGCAUCUUUUACCACCCAUUUUAGGGAACAAAUCUUUCACGAAUCUCCUCAUGGAAAUUGUCUACAGUGAUGGCAGGAGACCUCUGAGGAAGACACAAUCAUUAUUCACAUUUUCCAGAUGAAAAAAUGAAGCACAAAGAAGGUGAAUUGUUCAAGGUCACAUGUUAAGCACCAGGUGUGGAAUGUGAACGUCUGUGUAAAAUGGCACAGCUUUCCUCUGGAAGGGGCUCUCUGAAGACUAAAUCCAGGAAAAUUAACCAAGACAGAUCCAUGAUGUGGGAAGAUUUUUUUUUUUCCCCACAAAAACAACUAGCCUUUGAAACUUCCAUAUUAAUGCAAAAAGAAUCUCCUGACCACUGAAAAGAACAAACAUGCCCAUUGCUCUGGUAUAUUCUCCAGCUUGACAACAUUCUCCAGCCUUCCUGUAAGUUUUGGCCAGUGGGUUGCAGGUAA